rnacentral:tRNA from 1 species
GCGAGUGUAGUUCAAUGGCAGAACUCCAGCUUCCCAAGCUGGUGGCGCGGGUUCGACACCCGUCACUCGCU